GUUUUUUCCUUCUUAAAUCCAGGUUUGCAGCAAGCCACCUACACAGAAGAGAAACGCCAGCAUUGUGGAAGAUGUGAUCCCUUUCUCUUCAUUUCGGAUAUUUAAAAUAUCUACAAUUCCAGAUGUUAGGCCAAUAAUGAGUGAACUGUUCUGAAAUACGCAUACAAGUUAAGUUUGAUAUGUUAAAUCUUUUCUACUUAAAGCUUUAAUUUAAAAUUAAUAAAGGAACAGCAUUUUAGUCUAUUGCUCUACUGAAUGUUCAUUCUUGUUUAUUUUAUGAAGUGACUAGGUUUUUUCAGUCAGAGUUUUGAUUUUUCAUUAUUUCUGCAAUAUUAUAUGAAAGACUGGUGGGAUUACUUUGGAA
rnacentral:lncRNA from 11 species